rnacentral:rRNA from 1 species
GAGUUUGAUCCUGGCUCAGGAUGAACGCUAGCGGCAGGCUUAAUACAUGCAAGUCAAGGGGGUAGCAAUACAACCGGCGCACGGGUGAGUAACGCGUACACAACAUACCAUAUACUGGAGUAUAGCUUUGGGAAACUGAAGGUAAUCCUCCAUAACAUUGCGAGAGGGCAUCUGAUUGUAAUUAAAGUUUCGGCGGUAUAUGAUUGGUGUGCGUUUGAUUAGCUAGUUGGUAGGGUAACGGCCAACCAAGGCGACGAUCAAUAGCUGGCGUGAGAGCGCGACCAGCCACACUGGAACUGAGACACGGUCCAGACUCCUACGGGAGGCAGCAGUAGGGAAUAUUGGACAAUGGAGGAAACUCUGAUCCAGCCAUGCCGCGUGAUAGAUGAAGGCCCUCUGGGUUGUAAAUAUCUUUUAUCUGGGAAGAAACACUCCUAUUCUUAGGAACUUGACGGUACCAGAGGAAUAAGCACCGGCUAACUCCGUG